CUCCGAGGUGGAAAGCACACCGGAAUGCAAGUCCGGAGACGCGCCCAAUAGAGGCGCCGGGGCUU
rnacentral:tRNA from 1 species